UUCUUUCUCUAUUUCCCUCCUUCUCUCAUAUCCUCUCCUUCUCUCCUUUUCCAAUUCUCUCUCUUUCUUUUUUGAUUCUCCAAUCUUAGUGAUCCAAGGGAAAGGCUAAAAACACUUAGUGCCUUCCAAGAGUUCAGUUGCAGCAGUCUUUGGUUUAACCUGGGAAAAUCCCUAGCUGUCCGGCAGGAAAGUUGUAACUCUUGCCUUUAGGAGGCGCUGUUUGUCAGAGUUAUCCUAAACCUGGAAAAGGGAGGGGGAGAGGCCGUCAAGGGAGCUAUGACGUGAGCAGGAAGUUAAUUAUCAAGUUACCCGAACCGGGACAUCCAGUUUUCACUUGCCUAGGCAGAAAGUCUUGAGUUCUCUUCCCGCGCAAAUGGGAGCUUCCCUGGAACGUGGAUUACACAGAGAAUUUUAAUUUCUUAAAAACUUGUUUUCAGGCAGUUUCCCCCGGAACCAUUUACCUCCAGAGGACGAGCGGAAUUUGAUCUGAAGGCUGGCCAUGACAUCUCAAGGUCAAAGUUUGAGGUUCCGUUCAGAUGAUAAUUGUCAAGUGAACUUCCGUGAGAAGCUUCUGAUUAUUGAUUCAAACCUGGAGGCCCAAGAUGUGGAGGGCUUGAAGUUUCUCUGCCGAGACUGGAUCUCCCACAAGAAGCUGGAGAAGUCCAGCUCAGCCUCGGAUAUUUUUGAUCAUCUGUUGGCAGAGGAGCUGCUGAGUGAGGAAGACCCCUUCUUCCUAGCAGAACUCCUCUAUAUACUCAAACAGAAUUCGCUGCUGCGGUACCUCCGCCAAAGCAGAGAGCAAGUGGAGAGUUUGCUGCCCACCCGAAGGAGGGUCUCUCUGUUCAGAAACCUGCUGUACGAACUGUCAGAGGGAAUCGGCUCAGAGAACUUAAAGGACAUGGUCUUCCUUAUGAGGGAAUCGAUUCCCAAAAUCCAGAUGACCUCUCUAAGUUUCCUGGCAUAUCUGGAGAAACAAGCUCUAAUAGAUGAAGAUAAUCUGAUGUUACUGGAGGAUCUCUGCAGAAAAGUUGUACCUAACCUUAUGAGAAAGAUAGAAAAAUAUAAGAGAGAGAAAGCCUCCCAGGUAGUAACACCUCCUGUUGACCAGGAAACUGAGUCAUUGCAUCAAGGAGAGGAAGAACUAUUUUCCCGUUCAGAUGUUAACCAAUUCUUUGGAGCCUUACAGGAAGCAACUGUGUACAGAAUGGAUCGGAAGCACAGAGGCCACUGUGUUGUUGUCAAUAACCACAGCUUUACCUCACUCUCAGAUCGACCAGGGACUCAUAGAGAUGCUGAGUGCUUGGAGCGUGUGUUUCAGUGGCUGGGGUUCAGCGUACAUAUAUAUAAUAAUGUGACCAAAGGACGUCUAGAUGAGGUUCUGAAGGAAUAUAAGAGUCAUCCAGGCCAUGCUGAUGGAGAUUGCUUUGUGUUCUGUGUUCUGACCCAUGGGAAAUUUGGAGCUGUCUACUCCUCAGAUGAGGCCCUUGUUCCCAUUCGGGAGAUCAUGUCUCAUUUCACAGCCCAGCAGUGCCCUGGCCUGGCUCAUAAACCCAAACUCUUUUUUAUCCAGGCCUGUCAGGGUGAAGAGAUACAACCUUCUGUAUCCAUUGAAGCAGAUGCUGUAAAUUCCGAGCAUUCACCUCCUACCCCUUCCCUUCUGGCCAGUGUUCCCAGUGAUGCAGAUUUCCUUCUUGGCCUGGCCACUGUCCCUGGCUAUGUAUCCUUUCGGCAUGUAGAGGAAGGCAGCUGGUAUAUUCAGUCUCUGUAUAAUAAUCUGAAGAACUUGGUCCCAAGACAUGAAGAUAUCUUAUCCAUCCUCACUGCUGUCAACAAUGAUGUGAGUCAACAAGCAAACAAAGAAGGAACAAAGAGACAGAUGCCCCAACCUGCUUAUACACUACGGAAAAAACUAGUAUUCCCUGUGCCACAGGAAAAACUUUUAUUGUAGUAGAGAGUUCUCAAUGACUCUUUGACUUGAAAGGAAACUUUGGUCAUCUCUUCCAAUCUCCCACCCACCAUAGGAAUCAUUGAUAGAUGUCUGGAACAGGAAGCAAGCCUGAAGAUGAGAACCCUCUUGUGAUGCCUCCGAGCUCCCCAAACCUGUUCUCAUAAAUCAGGUUCAAAUGCAGACUCAACUUUCCUCAUCUGUGACCACCACUUGCACACCACUGCUGCUGACAGUUUUCCAUUCCCAGAAUGCACAAUCAGAAGCCCUGUACUGCAUCUGAUCAUCCUACAUUUCAGCUUAUUUUGCCACUUGCAAGCAUCCUCGCCCCUCUACUCAUGUCGUCUUGGAUCUCCAGCUCUCGCCACCCUGCAAGGAGACAGUGAGCCAGUUUUGGCUAGAUGCUUCUUGCUGCGGCCAAAUUAGCAACGUUAGCCUUUGGUUCUAGUCACUUGUUGAUGCCAAAAAUGAUGACUCUGUGAGAGUGACAGAGAGGUGUUACUGUGCCCAUUUUAUGGAUCAGAAAAUCAAGGCUCAGAGAAGCUAAAUAAUAAACAAGGUCAUACUGCUAGAAAUUGGGAAGGACCAGACUUGAACUCUAUCUGGCUGACCUCCAAGUACAGGGACCUGUCCUUCCUGUCUUUACCAUGCUGCUCUUGUGAAAAUAUUUUCUAAGAGACAGAGGGCAGGCUUAUACAGAGCAAUUAGCACCCCAUCUCGGGUCUUGGAGAUGGGAACCUGGCCUCUCUGCUGGAGGUAUCAGCCUGAAAUAUCAAGGAGAAGACAAUUUUAUCAACAGUUUCAGCCCUGUAAGAAAUGGGCUUGGCCUAAGUUAAAUAUUGUGAUAAAAUAUUAAAACAGGAAGUUCUAUUACUUAUAAGAAAGAUGGCUCAUUCUGCCAGUAAUCGAAAGCACUGCUGUUUGUGGAAGUUUGGCAAGUCCAACUUCCUCAGGUCCCUGGAACUGAACCCUUAGGUCUGGGACCUCUAUAUGUGACAAAUCUACUCAGCCAGGCUUCCCCCUUUUUGCUCUGUGUUCAGUAGGAGGUUACAAUUUCUAGGAAGGACAAUGAAGCAAAUUCAGUGGCAGGCAGAGACAUGGGGGCCUGAACAGACAGAUCUUAACAACUUCCUUUCCUAGGUUUGCCUUUGCUUGGACACCUCACAGGGCAGUGAUUGAUAGUCUUUUCCAGAGUCUUGCUCCUCCAACCACCCACCAGCUGUGUUAUCUCCUAGAGCAAGACUUAAACCCAGCCCCUUUCCAGCACCACCCUUCCAUUUUCGAGCCAUGGGGUUUAGAAUUCUGAACUCAUCACUCUUACCUCUUAUUGCUCACACUUUUGUUUCAUGUGUCUAUGUGUCUAUCUCAUUUCAUCUUUUAAAAAUUCCUUUAUUUAUUUGGGAAUAUAAUAUAAGCAGCUGGUAAAACAUUUAAACAGUACAGAAGGAUACAUAGGGAAAAGUAAAUUUCACACUGAUCCCCUCCCCCAAGUCCCCAGUUCUUCCACAGAGAUAAUUAUUGUUUCUUCUUUUUGUUAUUUAUUUAAGUAAUCUCUACACCCAACAUGGGUCUUGAGCUCACGACCCCCAGACCAAGAGUUGCAUGUUCUUUCUACUGAGCCAUCCAGGUGUCCCCAGAGGUAAUUAUUGUUUCUAAUAUUUUGAAUAUCCCUUCAGAGAUAUGUUAUUCUUAUAUAAACAUAUAUAUAUAUAUAUAUAUAUAUAUAUAUAUAUCUGUGUCUUUCUCUGAUUUUCCCCUUCCCAAAUGCUGGCAGACCAUUCUGCACUUGGGUUUUUUAAUUGAACAUAUCUCAGAGCUUAUCCUGUAUCAGAACAUCUAGGUCUCCCUGAUCUUCUUUAUGGCUGCCAAUAUUCCAUUAUAUGCAUGUGUCAUCAGUGAUCCAACUAGCCCCCCACUGAUGGGCAUUUAGGGAUUGUAGGGUUCAUAUGGGUAGAAACCAGAUCUUACCCAUCCUUUGUUUCCUAUGUUUCAAUCUAAAACAGUGCUCUGCCAGAAUUGUUUAGUAAUUAAAAGACAAAUACAAACCACAAACACAUUCGUUCAUGAAAAUUGGGGAAAAGCUCUUAUUUAUUCUCAGCUCUGAGCUUUAUAUCUGCUGCUUUGCUGAAGUAAGAAUGUGCUAGUUCUCAUGCAGCUUUCUCAUCAGCCACAGGUACUCAGCCCUACCAGGUAUCAAGUAGUUAGAAAACUUAUGGAUGCAAAAAUGUCCCUGCCUUCUAGGAAAUUAUAAUCUGGUUGGAGAGAGAAGAAAGGUGUUUGUUGGCAAAAACAAAAUAAUCAAGAAAGGAUGGAUAAAUUUUAAAAGUGGUGUUAGGACAUUGGUUCUCUAUCUGCAAGAAAUUAAAGUUAGAUUCCUAUCUCAGACCAUGCACACAUACACAAAAACUCCAAAAAUAUAAAUGUUAAAACAAAACUAUAAAGGCAUUAAAAGAAAUAUAGGAAAUGAAAGACCAGAGAAAGUCUCCCUAAGCAACACAUAGAAGCCAGAAGUCACAAAGAAAAAGCCAGGUAUAUUUGUCCACAUAAAAAUGUAAAUUUUCUGUGUAAUUGAAGACACAAAAAUUGCAUUAAAAGACAGGCAAUGACGUUUGGGAAGAUGAAAAGAUGCCCAUUAUAUCUUGUUAACUAAACAGAAAGUAAGCUAUAAACCAUAUAUAUACUUAUAUAAAUUGAUAUAUUCAGUCAGAGUGCAGUCAGAGGUGGAAACCACACCUGUCCUUCAAAAUGGAAAAUUUAAUAGGAAGAAUUAUUCACUAGUAAAAGAAAAUUACUGAAAGUAAAAUGCCUUUAGGGCUGAGGGAGGUACCCAUGGAAAGAAGAGAUUUGGAAGACUCCUCCCCACCCCACAAAUGUUGGUCCCAGUUGAAGAAGCUGUGACUGUGCCCACUGAAGGUAGAGAAGUUCAUGGGAGUGUCAUAGGCUCACCUGCAGUCUGCAAGUGGAGGCUGGUGAGCAGGAGGCUUCCUGUGGGCAUGCUGACAAAGUUCCUGGAGUGUGAGCACCACUAGGUCUCCUGCAAGCUGCUGGUAGCCCUGCCAUAGAAGCAGGAAAGAAAAGCCCGCUGAACUAGGAAGAGAAGCCCUUCCUCUGCUUGGCCUUGUGCUGUCUCUCCAGUGUCCUCUAGGAUCAAAACCUAAAAUUGUGCCACCUGGUGGAGGAGCCAUUUUCAUAGGAUGUAGCUACAGUGUCAUCAAGCAGGCAGUAGGAGAGUGGAUUUGGUGCUCAGAGGCAGUACAUGGAUUGAUACAAGAUGGCAUAUAUGAUAUAUGUGCACAUUCACACUUAUUAUGUGUUUACUCAGUACACCAGGAGGUGUUGUAAUUCUUUUACAUGUAUUAACUCAUUUGAUUUUCACACUAAGUCUCCAACUCUUCAAAAGAGUUAUUAAUAUCUGUAUUCUAUGAAUGAGGAAAUCGAAGCACGCAGCUCUUAAGUAACUUGCCCAAGGUCACACAACUAGUAAAUGGCAGAGCAAGAAUCAUAAUGGCUUAAUAAGCAUAAAAAUAGACGGAAAGAAUCAAAAUAACAGUGUUACCUCUCAAGACAGGAUUAAAGAAGCCAUGGAAGUGGAUUUUAUUUAUUUAUUUUUAACAGUGCUUCAAUAAAUAAAUACAGUAAUAAA